AUGAAGCUGGAAUUGCUAGUAAUGGCAGGUCAGCAUACUGCCGUGAAUACGUUCUCGGGCCUUGUACACACCGCCCGUCACACCAUGAGAGUUGAGAAUACCCGAAGCCCAUGUCAAAGUGGUCGAAGGUAGGCUUGAUGAUUGGGGUGAAGUCGUAACAAGGUAAC
rnacentral:rRNA from 1 species